ensembl:lncRNA
AAAAAACACCAUAUAGGGAAGAGGGUGCCAUUUGGGACACAAUCUCAACUCCCACAACAACAAACUGGUCCCUGAGGUAAAAGAGAGAUGAGGGAAGCCAUCAAGACCAUUGGGAGGGAUAGAAGACAUUACUGUAAUUCCAGGACACAUUCUGAAACUCAAAGGUUGGAGACUUGUGCUAAAAGAACAUAGCAAAUUAGUCCUUUGUACUGUAUCUCUAUGUGCUCAACAUACUACAGGGAGGAGGUCAGAGAACUGGCAGUGUGGUGCCAAAACAACAACCUCUCCCUCAAUGUGAGCAAGACAAAGGAGCUGAUCAUGGACUACAGGAAAAGGAGACAAUAUUUGGCAUGGGCCCCCAGAUCCUCAAAAGGUUCUACAGCUGCACCAUCGAGAGCAUCCUGACCGGUUGCAUCACAGCCUGGUAUGGCAACUGCUCGGCAUCUGACCGUAAGGCGCUACAGGGGGUAGUGCGAACGGCCCAGUACAUCAAUGGGGCCAAGCUUCCAGCUAACCAGGACCUAAAUAAUAGGCGGUGUCAGAGGAAAGCCCAUAAAAUUGUCAGAGACGGCACCCAAGUUAUAGACUCUUUUCUCUGCUACCGCACGGCAAGCGGUACCAGAGCACCAAGUCUAGGACCAAAAGGCCCCUCAACAGCUUCUACCCCCAAGCCAUUAGACUGCUGAACAAUUCAUAAAAAUCGCCACCAGACAAUUUACAUUGACCCCCCUUGUAAACUGCUGCUACUCGCUGUUUUUUUGUUAUGUCACUUCGCCCCCACCUACAUGUAAUGAUUGCCUCAACUAGCCUAUACCCCUGCACACUGACUCGGUACCGGUGCCCCCUGUAUAUAGCCUCGUUAUUGUUAUUCUUGUGUUACUUUUAAUUGUUACUUUUUAUUUUAGCCUACUUGGUAAAUAUUUUCUUUUUUUUAACUGCAUUGUUGGUUUAGGGCUUGUAAGUAAACAUUUAACGGUAAAGUCUACACUUGUUGUAUUCCGCACAUGUGGCAAAUAAAGUUUGAUUUGAUA